rnacentral:lncRNA from 1 species
GCCAAUUUUGUAUCCAUACCGUAUUGGUGCCCUUUCAGUAUGAUUGGUAUAUAUGCCACUAAAGUUGUGGUCAUGCAUACACAUACAUAUGCUCUUGCAGUCUUUGGCUCUUUGCUAGUAUUCAUAAUCUAGAGGAAAAGUAGCAAGCACUAUGAAAUGGGGCGUGUAGAGAAAGGGAGCAGAGAGUUGAAUGGAACGGCGGAUGGUGGAUGGGUCGUCUGCAGGUACACUGAAGCUGAGUGGGGGUGUGGGGAUAAGACUGCAAAUGGAGGCGGAGGAAAACGGAAGUGGUCGCCUUUGCAUGAUGUGGAGAGAAAGCAACGGCAGCCCUCAUCCCGG